GAUGGAAGCUACAUCCUCACGGAUCCAGUUGCAUUUGUUACCACUGAGCCAUCACAGUAACUCCUGAUGCUGGCUACUGUUUGUUACCUACUUACUUUGUGUCAAACCUUUAAUACUCUCAACUCACUUAAUUCACACAUCAACCCUGUGAGGUAGGUACUGUUAUUACCCCUAUUUUAGAGAUGAGGAUAAGGAGGCUUAGGGAAAUUAAGUAUCACAGCUAGUAAACAAGUCAUCUAUGGGAAUUAACAGGUAAUAUACAAAUUAGUGAUUGGCCUGUCCCUAAAGCGAAGUGGGAAGACUCACACUUUAGAGCAAUCGUAGCCUCUGUGGACUUUGAAUGUCCAUGGCUCUAAACUAAGUAGCAAGAGUAGAAACACCACUUUGGUUUGAAAAUAUUCUUGGGAGUUCUCUGAUGGCCUAGCAGGUUAAGGAUCCUGUGUUUUCACUGCCAUGGUUGCUGUCCUGUAAGGCAAGGUCGAUCCCUGGCCUGGGAACUUCCACCUGCUGCGGGUGUGGCAAAAAAGAAAAACAAACAAAACCCAAACAAACAAGAGAGAAACUGAAGUAAAUGUUGCAACUCUCAUUAAAAAUAUAUGUGUGUAUAUAUAUACUUUUUUUUCCCAAAGGUUUUUUCUGUACUCUGAUUCACUCUCUUUGUUUUUUCCAGGUCCUAGAGCCUAGGAACUUGGUGUGUCAACUGCAGGAUUCAGGUACAAAGUCUCAGGUGUGUGGAAGGACUGGGGGGAAUUACGUGGCAUCGAAUAGAAUUUCAGCAAAGGACCAGCGACUCCAAUCAUGUAUUUUUAUGCAUGUAGGUAAUUUUUGACAUGAAUAUUUAGAAACAUCUUAGCUAAGCUAAUUUUUAGAUGUGCACCACAUGGCUUUUUAUUUUGUGGAAGUUUUCUUUUUGUUUUAUUUAUUUAUAUCCCAUAUGUUCUCGUUGAGACUUCAGGUGGCUGACAAAAUUAGUACAAUGAAAAAGAUAAAAUGUAAACCAAAACGAAACAACCUCAUUACUGGUGAGGGGACUGGACAGAGGCCACUUAGAAAUUGUGUGUAUAUUUAGUUGGUGUUAUUGUUAGGGAAAACCGGCACAUCUGCAUUCAGUCUAAUCUAGAAAUUCCACUUUUAGGAAUUUAUCUUAAGGAAAUAAUCAAGAGUGAAAGCAAGUUUAGCUGUGUUCACCAUGUGUAGGUAUGCUGCACCAUUGUUUAUAAUGGCAAAGGAGUGAAAAGAAUUUAGGGGUUCCUGUUUUGGCUCAGUGGUAGCAAACCUGACUAGUGUCCGUGAGGGUGUGGGUGGAUCCCUGGCCUUGCUCAGUGGGUUAAGGAUCCUGCAUUGCCCUGAGCUGUGGUGUAGGCUGCAGACGCGCCGCAGAUCUGGCCUUGCUGUGUCACAGGCCGGCAGCUGCAGCUCUGGUUUGACCCCCUAACCUGGGAACUUCCAUAUGCCACAAGUGAGGCCCUAAAAGCAAAAGAAAGAACGAAAAAGAAAAUAAUUUAAACAUGCAACAAGCAGGAAAUUGGUGAAGUGAUAUCUGUUUUGUGGAUAUGUGCAACUGUUGUAAAAUCACAUUUAAUUCUAUUGAAGAGGCUCCAUAUAUUGUUAAAUUCAGACAGCGUGGUGUAAAAUGAUAUUAAAUGGACCACUUUUAGAAAUGCGCACACAUACAUGAGGAAAUGACAAAAUAUGAAGAACUAACGUGGGCACCAGGAACUGUAUCUAGUCACUUGGGAUGGAGCAGGAUGGAGGAUAAGGUGAGAAAAAGAAUGUAUAUAUGUAUGUGUGACUGGGUCAUUUUGCUGCAGAGUAGAAAAUUGACAGAACACUCUAAACCAACUAUAAUGAAAAAAUAAAAAUCAUUAAAAAAAAAAAGAACUAAAAUGG
ensembl:lncRNA